rnacentral:rRNA from 1 species
GACGAACGCUGGCGGCGUGCUUAACACAUGCAAGUCGAACGGAAAGGCCCUGCUUGCAGGGUACUCGAGUGGCGAACGGGUGAGUAACACGUGGGUUAUCUGCCCUGCACUUCGGGAUAAGCCUGGGAAACUGGGUCUAAUACCGGAUAGGAGCCAUUUUUAGUGUGAUGGUUGGAAAGUUUUUUCGGUGUAGGAUGAGCUCGCGGCCUAUCAGCUUGUUGGUGGGGUAAUGGCCUACCAAGGCGGCGACGGGUAGCCGGCCUGAGAGGGUGGACAGCCACAUUGGGACUGAGAUACGGCCCAGACUCCUACGGGAGGCAGCAGUGGGGAAUAUUGCACAAUGGGCGCAAGCCUGAUGCAGCGACGCUGCGUGGGGGAUGACGGCCUUCGGGUUGUAAACUCCUUUCGCUAGGGACGAAGCUUUUUGUGACGGUACCUAGAUAAGAAGCACCGGCUAACUACGUG